rnacentral:rRNA from 1 species
AUUGAACGCUGGCGGCAUGCUUUACACAUGCAAGUCGAACGGUAACAGGGUGCUUGCACCGCUGACGAGUGGCGAACGGGUGAGUAAUGCGUCGGAACGUGCCGAGUAGUGGGGGAUAACGCAGCGAAAGUUGUGCUAAUACCGCAUACGUACUGAGGUAGAAAGUGGGGGACCUUCGGGCCUCACGCUAUUCGAGCGGCCGACGUCGGAUUAGCUAGUAGGUGGGGUAAAGGCUCACCUAGGCGACGAUCAGUAGCGGGUCUGAGAGGAGGAUCCGCGACACUGGGACUGAGACACGGCCCAGACUCCUACGGGAGGCAGCAGUGGGGAAUUUUGGACAAUGGGCGAAAGCCUGAUCCAGCCAUGCCGCGUGUCUGAAGAAGGCCUUCGGGUUGUAAAGGACUUUUGUCAGGGAGGAAAUCCCUAGUGCUAAUAACACUGGGGGAUGACAGUACCUGAAGGAUAAGCACCGGCUAACUACGUGCCAGCAGCCGCCGCCGUAA